rnacentral:rRNA from 1 species
AACGCGAAGAACCUUACCAGCCCUUGACAUCCCGGUCGCGGGUUCCAGAGAUGGGACCCAUCAGUUCGGCUGGACCGGUGACAGGUGCUGCAUGGCUGUCGUCAGCUCGUGUCGUGAGAUGUUGGGUUAAGUCCCGCAACGAGCGCAACCCUCGCCUCUAGUUGCCAGCAUUAAGUUGGGCACUCUAGAGGGACUGCCGGUGAUAAGCCGCGAGGAAGGUGGGGAUGACGUCAAGUCCUCAUGGCCCUUACGGGCUGGGCUACACACGUGCUACAAUGGCGGUGACAGUGGGACGCGGAGGGGUGACCCCGAGCAAAUCUCAAAAAGCCGUCUCAGUUCAGAUUGCACUCUGCAACUCGAGUGCAUGAAGGUGGAAUCGCUAGUAAUCGUAGAUCAGCAUGCUACGGUGAAUACGUUCCCGGGCCUUGUA